GGCACACGCCUCUUUCUUCUUCCUUUCUCACGUAAUAUUUUCUGGAAAAACAUAGAGGAGCAACAGCAACAUCAACUUCCCGGCGGAAAUUUCACGGUGGCCAUGGGAGAAGCAAUAACGAAAAUCCGAGUAAACACUCAAACAAUCUCUCUCGGUUCUCUCUCGUGAUUCUUCUCCGUAAACAACAAAUCCCUCACUCACGGUUUCCUUCUACCGCGGCCAUGGGAGGAGCUUGAAGAAGCUCACACAAAAUAUGAUGAAACUACAAGGAUAAACUCAACUCUACAACAAAUUUUGACUUGAUUUUAACAGACUCAUGAAUAGGGGCGAAAAUCUGGGUACAGCAACAAAUAUCAGAGAGGUUGAGAGUGAAGGCAGGAUCGACUUACCUACGGCGAGGAGAAUUUCGCCGGUUUAAUUGUUGUGUGUUGCGGUUAUGCUUUGAUUUUGCUGAAUUUUUCUGCUGUUGCUUCGGAGUUGUUGAAGAUGAUGCGUGAAUGAUGUGUAAGCACAGGGCUGCAACCAGAGGAUCUAUUUUGAUGAAGAUGAUGCAACAAAACCUUUUUUUGGAUAUUAGGGAGACUUGAAGAUGCAACUUCAAGUUGUUGCUCUCCACUAAGGUAUGAACUACUUCUUCACCCCUUUUCCAACUAUGGAACUAAGAAACUUUGAAAAUUAUGAGAGAAAAGGGAGGAGUGAAAAAAGCAAGUAGCUAAGGUUGCUUUGGUGUGAUUUGCAAUGAAGAGAACACCUCUAUUUAUAGGAAAAGCUUAGGAUGUGUUUGGCAUAAAAAUUAACUUG